rnacentral:piRNA from 1 species
CUCCUCUGGUUAUCUACUAUUCU